GAUGAACGCUGGCGGCGUGCUUAACACAUGCAAGUCGAACGGACUUUUAAUGAAACCUAGUGAUUUAAAAGUUAGUGGCGGACGGGUGAGUAACGCGUGGGGUAACCUGCCAUAUACAGGGGGAUAACACUUAGAAAUAGGUGCUAAUACCGCAUAAGCGCACGGUAUCGCAUGAUACAGUGUGAAAAACUCCGGUGGUAUAUGAUGGACCCGCGUCUGAUUAGCUAGUUGGUGAGGUAACGGCUCACCAAGGCGACGAUCAGUAGCCGGCCUGAGAGGUUGAACGGCCACAUUGGAACUGAGAUACGGUCCAGACUCCUACGGGAGGCAGCAGUGGGGAAUAUUGGGCAAUGGGCGAAAAGCCUGACCCAGCGACGCCGCGUGAAGGAAGAAGGCCU
rnacentral:rRNA from 1 species